rnacentral:tRNA from 15 species
GGCGGUGUAGCUCAGCUGGUUAGAGCACACGGUUCAUACCCGUGGCGUCACUGGUUCGAAUCCAGUCACCGCUACCA